rnacentral:rRNA from 1 species
AUUGAAGAGUUUGAUCAUGGCUCAGAUUGAACGCUGGCGGCAGGCCUAACACAUGCAAGUCGAACGGUAACAGGAAACAGCUUGCUGUUUCGCUGACGAGUGGCGGACGGGUGAGUAAUGUCUGGGAAACUGCCUGAUGGAGGGGGAUAACUACUGGAAACGGUAGCUAAUACCGCAUAACGUCGCAAGACCAAAGAGGGGGACCUUCGGGCCUCUUGCCAUCGGAUGUGCCCAGAUGGGAUUAGCUUGUUGGUGGGGUAACGGCUCACCAAGGCGACGAUCCCUAGCUGGUCUGAGAGGAUGACCAGCCACACUGGAACUGAGACACGGUCCAGACUCCUACGGGAGGCAGCAGUGGGGAAUAUUGCACAAUGGGCGCAAGCCUGAUGCAGCCAUGCCGCGUGUAUGAAGAAGGCCUUCGGGUUGUAAAGUACUUUCAGCGGGGAGGAAGGGAGUAAAGUUAAUACCUUUGCUCAUUGACGUUACCCGCAGAAGAAGCACCGGCUAACUCCGUGCCAGCAGCCGCGGUAAUACGGAGGGUGCAAGCGUUAAUCGGAAUUACUGGGCGUAAAGCGCACGCAGGCGGUUUGUUAAGUCAGAUGUGAAAUCCCCGGGCUCAACCUGGGAACUGCAUCUGAUACUGGCAAGCUUGAGUCUCGUAGAGGGGGGUAGAAUUCCAGGUGUAGCGGUGAAAUGCGUAGAGAUCUGGAGGAAUACCGGUGGCGAAGGCGGCCCCCUGGACGAAGACUGACGCUCAGGUGCGAAAGCGUGGGGAGCAAACAGGAUUAGAUACCCUGGUAGUCCACGCCGUAAACGAUGUCGACUUGGAGGUUGUGCCCUUGAGGCGUGGCUUCCGGAGCUAACGCGUUAAGUCGACCGCCUGGGGAGUACGGCCGCAAGGUUAAAACUCAAAUGAAUUGACGGGGGCCCGCACAAGCGGUGGAGCAUGUGGUUUAAUUCGAUGCAACGCGAAGAACCUUACCUGGUCUUGACAUCCACAGAACUUUCCAGAGAUGGAUUGGUGCCUUCGGGAACUGUGAGACAGGUGCUGCAUGGCUGUCGUCAGCUCGUGUUGUGAAAUGUUGGGUUAAGUCCCGCAACGAGCGCAACCCUUAUCCUUUGUUGCCAGCGGUCCGGCCGGGAACUCAAAGGAGACUGCCAGUGAUAAACUGGAGGAAGGUGGGGAUGACGUCAAGUCAUCAUGGCCCUUACGACCAGGGCUACACACGUGCUACAAUGGCGCAUACAAAGAGAAGCGACCUCGCGAGAGCAAGCGGACCUCAUAAAGUGCGUCGUAGUCCGGAUUGGAGUCUGCAACUCGACUCCAUGAAGUCGGAAUCGCUAGUAAUCGUGGAUCAGAAUGCCACGGUGAAUACGUUCCCGGGCCUUGUACACACCGCCCGUCACACCAUGGGAGUGGGUUGCAAAAGAAGUAGGUAGCUUAACCUUCGGGAGGGCGCUUACCACUUUGUGAUUCAUGACUGGGGUGAAGUCGUAACAAGGUAACCGUAGGGGAACCUGCGGUUGGAUCACCUCCUU